rnacentral:rRNA from 1 species
UGGCUGUCGUCAGCUCGUGUCGUGAGAUGUUGGGUUAAGUCCGUAACGAGCGCAACCCUUGUCCUUAGUUACCAGCACGUUAUGGUGGGCACUCUAAGGAGACUGCCGGUGACAAACCGGAGGAAGGUGGGGAUGACGUCAAGUCAUCAUGGCCCUUACGGCCUGGGCUACACACGUGCUACAAUGGUCGGUACAAAGGGUUGCCAAGCCGCGAGGUGGAGCUAAUCCCAUAAAAACCGAUCGUAGUCCGGAUCGCAGUCUGCAACUCGACUGCGUGAAGUCGGAAUCGCUAGUAAUCGUGAAUCAGAAUGUCACGGUGAAUACGUUCCCGGGCCUU